CACGCGCGAGGGGCCGGGGAAGCAGGUGCGGGCGCUGAGCUCCAGCAUCUCGGCGGUCGGUCGUGCCGAGGCGCGGGAGGCGUGGUGGUGCAGACGACGGGGAACUGUAGGUUUCCACAACAAAUUAGUGAGUGGUCCACAGCUUCAUUGCCUUUCCCGUAGCCAUCAUGCACUCUAGAGUUUGCAAAGGAGUCUCGAGAGUUCCAUGGACCUCUGGAUUUCAGCAAGACCUCCCAGCUCUGUGUGUUUGCUGAGUCUGUCUCUCUAAGACAAGCUUAACAGAAGGCAGCCUAGAGACCUCACUUUUUGCUGGUUCUUGUCAAACCAAGCUACAUAUAUCAGACACUUGAAACAAGAACUGACAUUAGUACCAGCUGUUGGAUGAAGACAUGCAGCAAUCCUCCUGAAGUUUAGCAGUUUGCAGUGUCUGUAACCUGCACUUAGCUGUGACUGAUUCAGGUUUAUGUCCUUGAAAUAGAGAGUGAAGCACCCUGGUAGAUAAAAUUAAUUGAUGAAAUUUAGGCAUGUGAUUCAAUUCACCCAAAAAUGAGUCACAUGGAAAACAGAAAUUAAUAUAUAUUCAUAACACAAUUACCCCUUGGCUCAUUGACAGCAGGGAGCAAAAUAAUUCUGGGAUAGAGAGGAAUUCAGGUUAGAACUGAGGGACUUUGCCAGUUACACAAUUACCUUGUGGCCUGAAGGGGCCAGCGUCUUGCCUUAGGCAAUGCCAUCACUCUCAAGUAUUCCAAAGGCCUAAACAAUUCACUCACUUCCCUUCCUAAAUUGUAUGCAUAGAUGAUAAUCCAGGGGAACUGGGGAGCUCCAGAUGCCCUAUUAUUAAUAUCUGACAUGUAAUAUUUCAUUCAUAAAGUAAUGACUUUGCUUCCUUGGACCCUCAGCAAGAAACUAAAACAAAUGUGACUACACUUUAUAAUAAGCGACAAAUCUCUUCUUGCUCCCUUUUGGUAUUCAUUGUGAUAUCAUUAAUCAGUGCUAUACUCCUGAUAAUAAAUCGUGAUGUUCCCGAGAAUGCGAAAAUGCAUUAUUCUUCUGUUGUCCAGUAUUCUGUAUGCCACACUCUUAGUUAAAAACAACUAGAAGGCUCUAGGAAAAGCGUUUAGUUUAAAUUCAGUUAUUCAACUAUUUUACUUUUGAGACCAUCACGAUUACCUUGGGAUCUCAUUAAGAACUGAAGAUUGCUUUGUCAUUUGUCUAUUGUCCCUGGAAGGAAAAUAAAAUACCUUCCUUUUGAUUUUGAA